CGCACUGGUGUGAAGGUCGGCUUCAAACCCGCUGGAGGCAUCA
rnacentral:tRNA from 1 species